GACAGUCGGAUGAUCGCGGGCGGCUCGACCGCCUGAGGAAAGUCCGGGCUUCACGGGAACACGAUACCGGAUAACGUCCGGCGGGGGCGACCUCAGGGAAAGUGCAGCAGAAAGCAAACCGCCGACCUUCGUUAUGAAGAGGCAAGGGUGAAAGGGUGCGGUAAGAGCGCACCGCUUUUCCGGUAACGGAAAAGGCACGGAAAACCCUAUCGGAAGCAAGACCAAGUCAGGCGUACGCAUCACGCGUGUCACGGGACGUUCCCGUCCCUCGCCAGAGGUGGGUCGCUAAAGGCGUCCGGCAACGGCCGCCGCAGAAGAAUGAUCAUCUAUUACAGAACCCGGCUUACAGACUGUCUG
rnacentral:RNase_P_RNA from 1 species